GGACGAACGCUGGCGGCGUGCCUAACACAUGCAAGUCGAACGGGGUGUUCCUUCGGGGACACUUAGUGGCGAACGGGUGAGUAACGCGUGAGAAACCUGCCUUUCAGUGGGGGACAACAGUUGGAAACGACUGCUAAUACCGCAUAAUGUUAUUUAGGGGCAUCCCUGAAUAACCAAAGCUUUAUGUGCUGAAAGAUGGUCUCGCGUCUGAUUAGCUAGAUGGCGGGGUAACGGCCCACCAUGGCGACGAUCAGUAGCCGGUCUGAGAGGAUGAACGGCCACAUUGGGACUGAGAUACGGCCCAGACUCCUACGGGAGGCAGCAGUGGGGAAUAUUGGGCAAUGGGGGAAACCCUGACCCAGCAACGCCGCGUGAAGGAAGAAGGCCUUCGGGUUGUAAACUUCUUUUACCAGGGACGAACACAAUGACGGUACCUGGAGAAAAAGCAACGGCUAACUACGUG
rnacentral:rRNA from 1 species